GUAUGUAUGUAUGUAUGUGUGUGUGUGUGUGUGUGUGUGUGAGUGCGUGCGUGCGUGUGUGUGUGUCAUGAAGCACUUCACUCCGACUGAGGCACUGAAAUUGAUGGACCUUUGGGGUCGUCGAAUCGAUCCAUGGUGUUCAGCUGCAUGAUCAUGUGCA